UACGUAGGUGGCAAGCGUUGUCCGGAUUUACUGGGCGUAAAGGAUGCGUAGGUGGAUAUGCAAGUCAGAUGUGAAAUACCCGGGCUUAACUCGGGUGCUGCAUUUGAAACUAUAUAUCUAGAGUGCAGGAGAGGUAAGUGGAAUUCCUAGUGUAGCGGUGAAAUGCGUAGAGAUUAGGAAGAACACCAGUGGCGAAGGCGACUUACUGGCACGAUACUGACGCUGAGGUGCGAAAGCGUGGGGAGCAAACAGG
rnacentral:rRNA from 1 species